rnacentral:rRNA from 1 species
GAUGAACGCCAGCGGCAGGCCUAACACAUGCAAGUCGAGGGGCAGCACAGAAACAGCAAUGUUUUGGUGGCGACCGGCGGACGGGUGCGUAACGCGUAUGCAACCUACCUUUAACAGGGGGAUAACGGAGAGAAAUUUCCACUAAUACACCAUAACAUCGAUCAAGGCAUCUUGAUUGGUUGAAAACUCCGGUGGUUAAAGAUGGGCAUGCGUUGUAUUAGGUAGUUGGUGAGGUAAUGGCUCACCAAGCCUACGAUACAUAGGGGGACUGAGAGGUUAGCCCCCCACACUGGUACUGAGACACGGACCAGACUCCUACGGGAGGCAGCAGUGAGGAAUAUUGGUCAAUGGGGGCAACCCUGAACCAGCCAUGCCGCGUGCAGGAAGACGGCUCUAUGAGUUGUAAACUGCUUUUAAACAGGGAUAAAGCACAGUAUGUAUACUGUGUUGAAGGUACUGUAAGAAUAAGGAUCGGCUAACUCCGUGCCAGCAGCCGCCGUAA